UUCGGCCGCGCGCGGGCAGGGCCCUGGCAGCAACGAAAAUGGCAGCCUCGUAGCCUUCCGGGCCCGGCGGCCGCAUUCCGGGAGUCGCCAGGUGGGAGCCCGCCUUCCGCGUCCCCAAACGCCCAGAGCCCGGGACACGGGCCGGCGGCCGGGUCACCAAGCCAGUUCCCGGAAUCGGCUCGCGCCGGAAUCCAUAUGCGGCUUGCAAAGCCCGCUCCUGCCGUCUCUCCGCAGCGCGCCCUGCCCCACGCUGCCGGCCCUCUUAGCUUCAAAACCAAAUUUUGCCUUGAUCCUGAGAGAUUAAUACCCCACAGGUGAAACCGUGGAGACGGAGCUGCGGUGGGUUUUUUCUCCACGCCUUAGUUUCCCCGUCUGUGAAAUGGGACCAGGCGCGCCUGUGCUCCUCCGGGAGUUUAUUGCAGGGCUGGCUGGAGAGAAUGGCUGGGUGGAAGGCGCCAGGCGGAGGCCCAAGGCCGCCCACCCCGUGGGCCUCGUUUGCUGAGAGGGGGUCAAAGGCGUGCGGGACAGGGCGCGCCCCACGGCGUCUCUGGAGGCGGCCCGGCCGUCCCUGUCUCCUCCCCUCACUCCCCCUCCCCCGGCCUUCCCGGAACUCUCCUCGCCCGCUGGGUGGAGGAGGGGCGCGGGCCGACUCCGCCGCACCCGGGGUCUCCCUCCUCCCUCCCCCACCGCAGAGUCUGGCCCGCCCUGGACUUUCCUCUCAGGUCCCUUUGGGUCUCCAGAAGCCCGGAGGUUUCGCGCAGACUCGAACCUGAGAUGGCACCACCCAGCACCCCAAAUCCUGCAGAGUGUGGAGGGGAUUUGGGGAGAAGGCAGGGGCCGCCCGGGCGCUCUGGCUGCUGGGGGUGGGGGACGGGGCCUGCCGGGGAAGCGGGUCGGGGGAGGACUGGAGACCCAGGCCCCCGGAGAUACAACGAACCUCGCGGGAGGGAAUACGCCAUCCCCGUACCCACUUCCGAGGACGUAGGUCUUUUGGCACCGGCGGCAGCCGCGUUCUCACACAUCUGGGCGAGGCCCCGCAGCACGGCCUGGGGAGCUGAGGCUUCGGGAUCCUGCGCAAACUACCCCUCUGGCUGUAGACGGAGGAGGUGGGGUGUGGGGAGCAGGGGGCCAUGGUGUGAGCAGACCUUCUCACCUCUGGGCCUCCCACUUCCUGGGGCAGGACUUACGGGGAAGGAUCCGAGGGGAGUGGGGUGUCCAGAGGGACACCCAAAGGUCUAUCCCUGCGAGCUUUGCUUUCUACUAAACCAGUAAUCGCGGUGGUGGUGGCAGUCGAGACACGGCUCAAAGAGCCGGCAAGAAUAGAGCAGAGACCAGGAUCGCCCCAGGCAGGGAAAAAAUGACCAAUUCUGUAGUGUGACCCGAAGGUGAUGGAAUCACUCGGGCGUCCUCCUGGGAAAGGGCUGCCUGCCCCCACUGCCAGUACACCGGCGCCCAUGCCCCGGGGGCUGGAGAGAGCAGCCAGGCACAGCCCCCUCCAGCUUCCUGGGAGUCCAAUUUCCCAAGGUAGAACGGUGGCGGCAGAGCCUGGCCCUGUAGUGGGGCAGCUGCACCCAGGUGAGUGGCUUGCAGUUCCUGGAGCCCUGCAGGUUGUUGGAGAGGCAGGGAGCCCUUCUCCCUCCCACCUGCCCUCUUGCACUUCCUCUCCCAGAACCCAGCGCUACUCCCAGAGGCCCUGAGCUGAAGCCCUAGAAGGAGGCGCUGCAAGGCUCAGUGCUCCUGGAGCCUUGAGUCUACGGUAUGAGUUAAACAGAAGGGUAUCUCCUCCAUCAGAUCUACAGGAGGGUGUCUCCUCCAUCAGACCUGAAGCUUCCAAGGCAUUUUACCCAAAGCUCCAGCACCUGUCCCAAGGCUGGGCUGUGCUGUGUCCUCAGUGAAAGAAUGGAUGAGUCACAAGUGAAUGACUGAAGAGCUGAACCAAUGGGAAAACUGAUGCUCAGAGGCUUGAGCAACCGAGGCAAGGACCCGUCCUUAGAGGCAGAAGCAGAACUCAGAGGAAGAGCACCCUGACCACAAAGCCCCAGGGUCCAGAAAGACUCAUCCACUGGAGUCUGUAUUUCCUGAGUCCGCUUCUCACUGCUGGAGCUGUUUAUCAUUGACCAACUUUCACUAAAAAGGAAAAACUAUCACUUAAACAAAGCCAUUGAAACCCCAACAUCAUAUGUGGAUUUUUUAACAUAAAUAAAUCAUACAAACUAAGA
rnacentral:antisense_RNA from 1 species